rnacentral:rRNA from 1 species
AUUGAACGCUGGCGGCAUGCCUUACACAUGCAAGUCGAACGGUAACGCGGGGGCAACCCUGGCGACGAGUGGCGAACGGGUGAGUAAUACAUCGGAACAUGUCCAGUAGCGGGGGAUAACCUGUCGAAAGAUAGGCUAAUACCGCAUACGAUCUACGGAUGAAAGCGGGGGACCGCAAGGCCUCGCACUAUUGGAGUGGCCGAUGUCGGAUUAGCUAGUUGGUGAGGUAAAAGCUCACCAAGGCGACGAUCCGUAGCUGGUCUGAGAGGACGAUCAGCCACACUGGAACUGAGACACGGUCCAGACUCCUACGGGAGGCAGCAGUGGGGAACUUUGGACAAUGGGCGCAAGCCUGAUCCAGCCAUGCCGCGUGAGUGAAGAAGGCCUUCGGGUUGUAAAGCUCUUUCGGCCGGGAAGAAAUCGCAUCAGCUAAUACCUGGUGUGGAUGACGGUACCGGAAUAAGAAGCACCGGCUAACUACGUGCCAGCCGCCGCGGUAAAAC